rnacentral:rRNA from 1 species
GACGAACGCUGGCGGCGUGCUUAACACAUGCCAGUCGAACGGAAAGGCCCUGCUUUUGUGGGGUGCUCGAGUGGCGAACGGGUGAGUAACACGUGAGUAACCUGCCCUUGACUUUGGGAUAACUUCAGGAAACUGGGGCUAAUACCGGAUAGGAGCUCCUGCUGCAUGGUGGGGGUUGGAAAGUUUCGGCGGUUGGGGAUGGACUCGCGGCUUAUCAGCUUGUUGGUGGGGUAGUGGCUUACCAAGGCUUUGACGGGUAGCCGGCCUGAGAGGGUGACCGGCCACAUUGGGACUGAGAUACGGCCCAGACUCCUACGGGAGGCAGCAGUGGGGAGUAUUGCACAAUGGGCGGAAGCCUGAUGCAGCAACGCCGCGUGCGGGAUGACGGCCUUCGGGUUGUAAACCGCUUUCGCCUGUGACGAAGCGUGAGUGACGGUAAUGGGUAAAGAAGCACCGGCUAACUACGUG